UCUUAGUUUUGAAAGAAAAAAGAUAGGCUUAAAGGGAUGUACUCAUGCGGGAAUCUUUAUAUAUAUAUACCAGAGGUGCAUGAAUUGACAGAGAUCGAUACAUUAUUCCUUUUUUCAAAUCCUUAGAAAAAAAUUCUUAUUAUCUUCUGGGUUCUAUGGAAUGCAUGGAACAAGUUUUGAUUUUAUUUCUUGGUCUUACUGACAUAAGACAACUUUAAUAAACAAUUAAGACAUCUUUGUAAUUUUGGUAAACAAUUCAUAUGACGUUUUCAAAACUGAUUAAAUGAUCAGAUACUUGGCUUUACUUAGUUUACUUUUUUUGUUGGAGUUUUUGGGUGUUAAAUGGGCAAGGAGAUAAAAGGCGGGUUUACAAAUUCCUGACGUAAAACCACUCGAAGUUAAAAUGGAUAUCACAGCGCAUGUCGCAGAUGCGGGUAAUGUAAAUCAAAAACUAUAACGGGCUUGCCUGGUUUACAAAGUUACUUUGAAUUUGUAUACGAAGUGUUGUUUCUUGCAUCCUCCGAUAUAUACGAUAGCCUUGUUUUUGUUCAUGUUUUUUUUUGCAGAAAAAGAACCAUAUACAGUAUUUGCUCCUACGGACCUUCCUUGGGAAGCACUGCCAAACAAAACUAUGAACAAACUUAGAGGGAACAAAACAGCAAUUCGCCGUGUUAUGGAAAAUCACAUAGUCUCAGGAACAUAUUUUACAAAUGGCUUGAAACAGAAUGACACUCUGACAACGAUGCUGGGAGAAGAAUUGAGAGUGGAUUCUAUUAUAGGUAAUGUGACAGUGAAUGGAUCUUUUCUAGGAUUUCCGGAUAUUGCUGCCACCAACGGAGUUGUACAUAUCACGACAAAGAUUUUUUGGCCGAUAGAUUUUGACUGGGAACAUUAAUUAGUUCUGAUGAACAAGUAGAGACAGAGACUGUCGGAGUGAAAACGUUUUGGAAGAAUUGAAUAUAUUUUAAUGUAUUUAGUACUAACAAAUGAUAUUUAUGUAUGCUUAUUAUCUAUUUUUUUUUAUACAA